rnacentral:rRNA from 1 species
UGAGGAAUAUUGGUCAAUGGGCGAGAGCCUGAACCAGCCAAGUAGCGUGCAGGAUGACGGCCCUAUGGGUUGUAAACUGCUUUUAUGUGGGGAUAAAGUGCGUGACGUGUCAUGCAUUGCAGGUACCACAUGAAUAAGGACCGGCUAAUUCCGUGCCAGCAGCCGCGGUACUACGGAAGGUCCGGGCGUUAUCCGGAUUUAUUGGGUUUAAAGGGAGCGUAGGCUGUCUAUUAAGCGUGUUGUGAAAUAUACCGGCUCAACCGGUGGCUUGCAGCGCGAACUGGUCGACUUGAGUAUGCAGGAAGUAGGCGGAAUUCAUGGUGUAGCGGUGAAAUGCUUAGAUAUCAUGACGAACUCCGAUUGCGCAGGCAGCUGACUGUAGCAUAACUGACGCUGAUGCUCGAAAGUGCGGGUAUCAAACAGG